GCUCCCUGCUCUGCACUACAGGCAUAAAGCAAUUUGCAUUGGACAACCUGGACCUUUAAGCUUCUCUUUUCUUUAGCCAAAUACGCCCUUUCUGUGCCUCUCAAAUUUUGAGUGCUGUAACAAGCCCUUCCAAGUGUAAUAUUUUUAGGGUAUUUUUGACGCUGAUUUAUUCCCCUUUCCUGAAAGGCACACUGAGGAAACAGGAAUGAGAUAUGGCAAGGAUCAGCAAAAUCCAGUGGUCUCAAUCACUUGACUCCUGUCUGCACUCCCUACUUACUGACAGAUGCAGCCAGCCAACAGCGCACUUACUUUUAUGGUCAGACAACUCUACCACUUCACAUGUAUUCAUUUGACUCCUGAAUUCAUGAAUAUGAAUUUUUCAAGUUUGAAAAUAAGUAGCCAAGGGGAAAGCAUUCUUUAUUUAAGGAUUAGGAAGAGAAGGGGCAGCAGGUAAAUCAGCAACACACAACAGACAAGGCAAGCCUACCCUGACCUGCUCUGGAUCCUGUAGCUCCAUAAUCCCAAUCCCACAAGCAGGAGAACAGCAACAUGCCUCGAAUGGGACCUGACUCUGGCAGCUCAGGUGCUCCUGCCUUCCUCUUGCUGCUUUGGAUUACAAGCUGAUGUGGAAAAAGCUGCCCAGGUGUCUCCUGGGCAGAUGAUUUGCCCAGCAACCCAAGAGCUUGAAACUUUAAGAAACAAAAAGCUUGAGGGAAUUAUUUCACAUAUCAACAUUGGCUUUGACAUGAGGAAAUGUCUCCUACUGAUGUAGUAGUAACACUGUUAUCCUUAAUGCUUUCCUUUAAAUAUCCAUUUUCACUAAGCUUCAUCUGUCUCGUCAUUACAGUCGGUGAAAUGAGAUCAAGGGGCUUAACGACUUUGAGUAUCAAAGAACAACUCUGACUUUGCCAGUGCUGAAAACCCACAGAAGAGAACUCCCCAGUGCUGUUUCUGAAAUAUGCUGAAUGGGAUCAAAGCCAUCCUGUUAUUGCAACUACGAAUAUAUCCUAAAUCUGACUUAAAAAAGAAAUGCUACCCUAACAGCUGGAUGAUGACAACUGCAAAUUUCUCAGUUUAGUAUCAAUUUGAUCUACAUUUUUCAUUAUAACACUGGCAUUAGACCAUAUGGGCUGUUUAUGUCCCCUGAAGUCUUUCAAAUCACUAUUCUUGCCUGACUUGAAUCAGUACUUGAUGCUUAACCCAAACAUGGAGUAAGACCUGAACGAAUUACUCGCAGACUCAAAAAUCCUAAUCACUGCUGGAAAGGAGGAGAUACCUGUUCCACCAACAGCUUCAAGCAGUCUGCAGGUAAGGAAUUCCAAGGACGGUGCAGCCUGUAAGGGAGCUGGGUGGCUGCAGCUUCUCCACAUCCAUCCCCACAUCCAGAACAACAGCUUCUGACAGAGCUUUUGAAGAAACCAGUUUCCUGUGGAAUGAGCAGUCUUAGAUACACAUAGUCAAAGAGAAGCUGUCAACACUUAAUAUUAGACUGAAAGGAAGUGUCUCUCAUAAUGGCUGCAGCCAUUCCUGCUCCAGAGAAGUCUCCACUGCAUGAUCCUCUUUCCAACACUCACUCCAUCAGCCAAGGGCACUUUCACCUCAAGGAGGAGGCCCGCUCCACCAUGGCUUUUAAAGCUCCUUUUAAAAUCUAGUCAGCCCAGACAGACUGGGCUGGAGUCAGACUGGAAAACACUUAGGAGGUCAAAUCCUUUCAGGUGUGCAAAUGCCACUCUGGACCCCAGGGAAACACAGGUUGAAACUCACACCCACCAAGCACCACCACCACCACCAGGCUGCUGGCAGCUGAAGGCCCACCAGAAUCAGGCAGUGGUUCAAUGGGGCUUUGCACAUGCCAAUUUUGAUUUCAAUGCCUAAAUUCUUUCUCAGAGUCCACUGCAAUUGAAAUCAUAGAACUAAGCUAUAGAAUAAGCGAUCCAUUUUUUCACCACACUCUUAAAUUCUGUUCAAGAGAGGAAUGAACUGUCACCAAACAGGAUUAAGAAGGGGGUGCAGCUUCUCCAGAGGUUUUCAGCAACAUCAGCAGCAGACAAAGAGUAACUCCACAGCAACUUCGCAUUAUUCUCUCCUGCCAACUCUUUCCCUGCAGAUGAUCCACAUCGACACAGUGUGAAUGACUGCAUCCCCCUCUACUGGCUAGCCCCGGACUGGGACCCUAUUUUGUCCCUUAGAAGCUGUCCCUCCACUCAAAUUACAACCUGUUGGCACUGAUGCAGUAGCUCAAACACUGCUGAGGUGUUUCUUACAGAAAAAAGCCCAAAAUAGGGUAACUGCUAUUAAAUGGUAUUUUGGUAAUUGUUAACAGUAGGUCAGCGUAUAGAAGUAAAAAUACAAAACACCACAACUAUUGCAUUCGUUUUAUUGAUUAACACUACAUGUGACCUAACCUGAGCAUUUUACCAUUAUACUGAGAAAAAAGGCUGAUGUAUAAGGUUAUAACUCCUAGGCCUAUGUUGUCUUCCUAUGCUGAAUCACACUGCAAGAAAGGUUCUAUGAGAGCAUGUGAUCUGAAAUAUCACUUGAGAUAAAUGAUAAACACUGUCUUAUUGAUGAAGCUGACACAAGAACUACACCUCAAGUGAGUGCAAUAUUUAAGAAUACUUAAAACAAUAUACAAAACUAAUAAUAUUGAAUAUGCUUGUGCAAUAUCAUACUCAUGUCUCCUGCAAAGAACUGCAAGUACAGUUCUUGGAGUAAGAAUACAUCUGCCACACUGCUACUGCAGAUGGCUUAGAAGGAAAGGGUUUCACUCACUUGCUGUUACCAACAACAAAUUCUCAUUAGCAGCAAACUGCAGAGUCCUCCUCCUCCUGUGAAACCUGAGCCCUAGGGGAGGUCUGUUAUACCACCUGUGACUGUGACAUCUAAAGAAAAUGCGUCACUAUCUGACUUUUAAAUAUGACAAAACCAUGGAACAGCUGCAAGAAUCCUACAAAUACCAACUACACUUCAACAUUCAUUGAAAUCAGUCCUCAACUUCAGCUCCUUUUUGCCUCCCAACAAAUGUAACUCCUAAAUGUAAGCCUACUUCAGAACUCUACUUCAAUGAUGGUUGUGGUCUGUGAAGGGCACAGUGAGAGUUUGAGACCUGAGCAGAAGCACAGGCAAAGUCUGAGUCCCCAGCCCAAAGUGGCCUCUUCUCCCUUUCAGUAUCCUUCAUGCAUGUUCCAAAUUCAACUGUUUCCAGUGCUUGUAAAACAAUCUCGAGGAAGCAUAAAGGUUUGAAUAAACAAGAAGCAAUCAUAACCCUAUGAUGAUUGUGCAUGCAAACACAUUAAGAGGUUAUGGAAACAGAGAUGUGGAAUGGGAAUACAUCACCACAAAACCAUCAGAUAUGGGGAGAUUAAUAAAAUAGUAAAAUGUAUCCCCCCAACAAUAACCACUGUGCCCACAGGAGGUGGCUGUAAGGAGAAUUUUAGCACAGUGCCCCGAACAUUGUUAGAACACAGCUGGAAUAGCCUGCUUCUGCAAAAAAUGAUUUUGACAAAGGUGUGUUUGCAGAUCCAAAGCCAUUUCCUGAGAAAACUUGUGACCAGCACUAAUCAGUAUAUCUACACUGUUAAUUCUGCAUAGAAAGCUGCACACUUAAGGUAAUGAAAACAGGGACAGAGGAUUAAUCGAAUGAAAAGAAAAUAAUUAUAAAAGGCUUUUUUUUUUAACCAACAGCCCUGUUGCUGCAUUCCAGUAAGAGAUAUAAAGGAAAUUAACUCUACAUCUCAUUAGAGAAAAUUGGGCCUAAGGAGACCAAAAAAAAAGACAGGAAUAUGUAUGUUAGUAGCCAGAGGGAGACUGAAGUGGACAAAAACCUUCUCAAAAAAUGCAAAAAAUCCAUGAGAAUUAACAUCCCCACCUGGGCCAAUCUUUGGGGCAGAGAGGGGAGGCAAUUCUGGGCUCUGAGGUGCCACGUUCCAAUGAGGCUCUGAGCCUUCAGCUCAGCCAGCCACCACAAGGAGUGCGCUGGAGGCUCACUUCCCAGCUCACACAAACCCUGCUCAUGUUGCUUCAUCACUGGGUUAUGUUAUGGACCCUGCAAAAAGGCAACUUCUUACCUUUGAUGCACCCCCUGGAGACUUGCUUAGUUUAAGAGCUGCUCUCUGUCCCUUUAGCAAAUACUCUCUUCCUUAACCUUAAGAAAGCAAUCCUGGUGUCUGCCAGAGCUCUGCUUGAGCAGACUCAUUAAGGGAGGCCAAACGAAGCUUCCCAUGACCCAGUACAUUUCAGAGAAAGCACCAGGAUCACAGGGCUAAACUAGUUUUUCUUGGCUAUUGGAUUUAUUUUGGCUGUAAAUAUUUUGGCUUCCUUCCCUAUCAGUAUGCCAACGAAAACACAGAUCCAAGGUUUUCAGAGUCCGGGAUUGUAGAAAUUCUGAAAAAUGACAAAGUGAAACACAUACCAGCUAAUAAAGAGCUAUUCAUGCUCUAAAUACCCUCUUGUGCUGCUCUGCACAGAGUGUAGAUCAGCUUCUGGAAAUGUUGAGCCUGUUUGCCCUACCACUGAUCUUGUUCUGCAGCAAGUCACAUGGAUGCUUUCUUUACAUGCAACCUCUCUGAUUUCUAAGCAGUUAAUUAUUCCUCUCCCACAAAAACACAAUGCUAUCCUAUUUUUUCUUACUAUUUGAAUUAAAUAGACAUUGGGGAACACAACUUACAGAAAAGGCUACCAAACAUCUGUUUACACUGGAGAUGGUAACCCAGUGUCAUUAGGGGGCACCAAAGGCAACAACCUUAUUUUUUUAUCCUUCUCCAUUAAUAUUGGAAUGCUGUUAUUGCAAUUUAAUACUGCAAUAUUCCCUUCUCAAGGAAUCCACUCACAUGAUUACCCUCCAUAGACUGCAACCCCAGGCUUGUGGGGCUGCUUGUAGCAACACUCCCUCCAAAGGCCUACAAGUGCAGCAAGUAGAGGAACCCCAAACUGCCCAUCUCCCUGCCCACAACCUGGAAAUGGAGUUGCAUCUUUCCAACAAUGGAUUUACCUACAAUACCAAUUCUGUCCUUGGAAAUUAGUCAAUGACUCCAACAGUGCUAUAUGCAUCGACAAAUCAGCUCACACUAUUUAGCAAAACAGACUCCUGUAGCUAAAGACAAAAGAUGUGGAAAAGAAAAACUUACUUGUACACACUUCUUGCCCUAAGGACCUUAAAUUGAGAUCUCAUUUAUCAGUAUGUGCUUACUACAUGAGUAAAAAGUGAAAAGUAUCUCACUCCUUUAAAAACCAGUGGGGAAAAAAGAAUCAGAUACUCAGUUAAAGAUAGCCCAGCACCCAAGGCCAGGAGUGAGGUAGGGUGGAUUAUAUUACUCUUCUGCUAUGUUAAUCAUUCUGGGUAUAUAACUCACUGCUUUGGUGACAGAGGUACCAACUCACAAAACCAUUUUCUUGCCCAGAAUCUAAACACCACUCUUUUGCUUUCAGACUAUGGAAUUUUUAUGGAAUCAAUUUUUAUCCUGCAGGAUGACCAGACACAGAAAAGGAAAUCAUACACAGAGAUGGGCAAAGGUACAGAUUUUUCUGACUAAAUAAUUAAUAAAUUUGACAGCUUUUCUAUUCUUUCCUUUUCCUCAACCUGGAAUCUGAAUUUUAUGCACUAAGUAAAGGUCUGCAAAGACAGGGGCUCCUCUUUGAGCAACAGAAGAUUGAGCUGACACAGUUCUUCCAGGGGUAAUUCUCAGCUACCACUCAAGGUGUUUUAUGGAAACCACGGUAGUAUACAGAGUUUACUUUCCUCACUUCCAGACCAAAACUACAGCAAACAAAAAACAAACAAAAAAAUCCCACCAAACCAAACAAGAAAAAACAAACAAAACACCAAACCAUUUAAAUCUCAAAGGUAAUUUUUAACAUCAAUCCAAUGCUAAUGUACUUGAGCUAAGAAAAAAUUACUUUUACAGUAGGAACUGAAAGUAGACUAAAUUGAAAACUGACUUUGGAGCAAAGAACAAAUGCUUUUUCCACUCAAGGCAGAGAAAAAAUGCUGAUGUAAAACCUUGUCAAUAAUUGUCUAUCACUUCAUAUUUCUGUACACUGACUUGUUCUUUAAACCUGUUUCUAGCACAUACUACUACUAACACAGAGAUGCAAACUCAUUUCCUUCCAGUGAACUAGCCUGUCAAAGUUGAGGCAGCAAAAGAAUUGAGCUAAGUACAAAUAGUGCCUCACUCCCUCCAUCUC